rnacentral:piRNA from 1 species
UCAUUUGGAAUUCUUCCGCCU